AAAUUGAAGAGUUUGAUCAUGGCUCAGAUUGAACGCUGGCGGCAGGCCUAACACAUGCAAGUCGAACGGUAACAGGAAGCAGCUUGCUGUUUCGCUGACGAGUGGCGGACGGGUGAGUAAUGUCUGGGAAACUGCCUGAUGGAGGGGGAUAACUACUGGAAACGGUAGCUAAUACCGCAUAACGUCGCAAGACCAAAGAGGGGGACCUUCGGGCCUCUUGCCAUCGGAUGUGCCCAGAUGGGAUUAGCUAGUAGGUGGGGUAACGGCUCACCUAGGCGACGAUCCCUAGCUGGUCUGAGAGGAUGACCAGCCACACUGGAACUGAGACACGGUCCAGACUCCUACGGGAGGCAGCAGUGGGGAAUAUUGCACAAUGGGCGCAAGCCUGAUGCAGCCAUGCCGCGUGUAUGAAGAAGGCCUUCGGGUUGUAAAGUACUUUCAGCGGGGAGGAAGGGAGUAAAGUUAAUACCUUUGCUCAUUGACGUUACCCGCAGAAGAAGCACCGGCUAACUCCGUGCCAGCAGCCGCGGUAAUACGGAGGGUGCAAGCGUUAAUCGGAAUUACUGGGCGUAAAGCGCACGCAGGCGGUUUGUUAAGUCAGAUGUGAAAUCCCCGGGCUCAACACUGGGAACUGCAUCUGAUACUGGCAAGCUUGAGUCUCGUAGAGGGGGGUAGAAUUCCAGGUGUAGCGGUGAAAUGCGUAGAGAUCUGGAGGAAUACCGGUGGCGAAGGCGGCCCCCUGGACGAAGACUGACGCUCAGGUGCGAAAGCGUGGGGAGCAAACAGGAUUAGAUACCCUGGUAGUCCACGCCGUAAACGAUGUCGACUUGGAGGUUGUGCCCUUGAGGCGUGGCUUCCGGAGCUAACGCGUUAAGUCGACCGCCUGGGGAGUACGGCCGCAAGGUUAAAACUCAAAUGAAUUGACGGGGGCCCGCACAAGCGGUGGAGCAUGUGGUUUAAUUCGAUGCAACGCGAAGAACCUUACCUGGUCUUGACAUCCACGGAAGUUUUCAGAGAUGAGAAUGUGCCUUCGGGAACCGUGAGACAGGUGCUGCAUGGCUGUCGUCAGCUCGUGUUGUGAAAUGUUGGGUUAAGUCCCGCAACGAGCGCAACCCUUAUCCUUUGUUGCCAGCGGUCCGGCCGGGAACUCAAAGGAGACUGCCAGUGAUAAACUGGAGGAAGGUGAGGAUGACGUCAAGUCAUCAUGGCCCUCACGACCAGGGCUACACACGUGCUACAAUGGCGCAUACAAAGAGAAGCGACCUCGCGAGAGCAAGCGGACCUCAUAAAGUGCGUCGUAGUCCGGAUUGGAGUCUGCAACUCGACUCCAUGAAGUCGGAAUCGCUAGUAAUCGUGGAUCAGAAUGCCACGGUGAAUACGUUCCCGGGCCUUGUACACACCGCCCGUCACACCAUGGGAGUGGGUUGCAAAAGAAGUAGGUAGCUUAACCUUCGGGAGGGCGCUUACCACUUUGUGAUUCAUGACUGGGGUGAAGUCGUAACAAGGUAACCGUAGGGGAACCUGCGGUUGGAUCACCUCCUUA
rnacentral:rRNA from 1 species